CCAGUCGGCCGGAUGGCCGCUGCCUUCGGGCAGAGGAAAGUCCGGGCUCCACGGAGAUACGGCGCCGGAUAACGUCCGGCGGGGGCGACCCCAGGGAAAGCGCCACAGAAAGCAAACCGCCGCUUCCGUUCGCGGGGCGGCAAGGGUGAAAGGGUGCGGUAAGAGCGCACCGCGCCGGCGGCGACGCAGGCGGCAUGGCAAGCCCCGCCGGGAGCAAGACCGAAUAGGGGCGACGCGGCGGCGGAAACGCCGCCGGACCCGUCUCCGGGUCGUCGCCCGGGUUGGUUGCACGAGGCGGUCGGCGACGACCGUCCCAGAGGAAUGGCCAUCACGUCCGCGGGCGACCGCGGGCCAUACAGAACCCGGCUUACAGGCCGACUGGCGUC
rnacentral:RNase_P_RNA from 1 species